GCUAAGGUGGCAGAGCCCGGUAACUGCAAAAGACCUAAGCCCUUUAAGCCAGAGGUUCAAAUCCUCUCCUUAGCU